AGCGGCGGACGGGUGAGUAAGGCGUGGGUAACCUGCCUCAUACACAUGGAUAACAUACCGAAAGGUAUGCUAAUACAAGAUGAUAUAAGAGAUUCGCAUGGAUUUCUUAUCAAAGCUCCGGCGGUAUGAGAUGGACCCGCGCCUGAUUAGCUAGUUGGUAAGGUAACGGCUUACCAAGGCGACGAUCAGUAGCCGACCUGAGAGGGUGAUCGGCCACAUUGGAACUGAGACACGGUCCAAACUCCUACGGGAGGCAGCAGUGGGGAAUAUUGCACAAUGGGCGAAAGCCUGAUGCAGCAACGCCGCGUGAGCGAUGAAGGCCUUCGGGCCGUAAAGCUCUGUCCUCAAGGAAGAUAAUGACGGUACUUGAGGAGGAAGCCCCGGCUAACUACGUGCCAGCAGCCGCGGUAAUACGUAGGGGGCUAGCGUUAUCCGGAUUUACUGGGCGUAAAGGGUGCGUAGGUGGUUUCUUAAGUCAGGAGUGAAAGGCUACGGCUCAACCGUAGUAAGCUCUUGAAACUGGGAAACUUGAGUGCAGGAGAGGAAAGUGGAAUUCCUAGUGUAGCGGUGAAAUGCGUAGAUAUUAGGAGGAACACCAGUAGCGAAGGCGGCUUUCUGGACUGUAACUGACACUGAGGCACGAAAAGCGUGUAGAGCAAACAGGAUUAGAUCCAUGGAAUCCCCGUCCUCGAACCUGAGGUACAAGUGG
rnacentral:rRNA from 1 species